GGGAAAUCAGAAGUUGAAUUUUAGCCUCUAGCCAAAAUAGAAUAAUAAGAGAUGAAAUCAGAAAUUGAAUUUUAGCCUCUAGCCAAAAUAGAAUAAUAGGAGAUUAGAUUUACACAAUGCAACUAAAUUUUAAGAAGACACAAAAUACUCGAAAUAGUUUUCAAAUACUGAAUUUUUAAAAAUAAACUCAACUUGGAAUUCUUUACCUAGAGAAAAUAUCUUUAAAAGUGAAAAUUAAAACUUCUUCAGACCUAGAAAGGUUCAAAGAAUUGAUCACAAGCUAACUUUUGCCCUACAGGAAACAUUAAAAGUACCAGAUAGAAAUCUGCUUCUAUGCAAAGGAGUGAAGAGCAACAAAAAUGGUAAAUAUGUGAACAAAUAUAAGGCCUUUUUCGCCCCUUAUUUUAAAUUAUCUUCAAAGGGUAGCGGACUAUUUAAAACAAAAAUAAUAACAAUGAAUUAUGUGGUUAACAUAUGUAAAGUGAAAUGCCUGACAAGAGCACCUCUCUUCAAGGGUGGGAGGAGGGAAAUGACAGUGCGCUGCUCUGAGGUUCUUACCUGGGAAGCAGAGUGCUCCCUGGAGGUAGGGUGCUGCAAGCUGAACGUGUGUGCUGUGAACCCCAAAGUAAACGCAAGCAAAACUGGUCUAGUUAGCAAAUCAACAAAGGUGAUACAGUGUAGCCAUUAAAAAAUCCAAAAGAAGCAAAGAAAAGAACAAGGGCAAAGAAUAAAUGGGACAAUAGAAAAUAAACAGUAAAAUGGUAGAUUUAAGCAGCAAUAUCAAGAAUUACAUUAAGUACAAAUUAUCGACUACCCUUACGAAAUUGAAUUUUUUUAUCCAGCUGUAUACUAAAUCGAUGAAAUCCACUUUAAAUAUGAAGAUACAAAUAGUUUAAAUUUAAAAAAAAAGGAAAGGGCUCAAUAGCUUCAGCUUCCACCUUAAGUUAGAAAAAUAGCAAGUAAGAACCCCAAAGAAGCAAAAAGAUUAGAGAAUACAAUGCAAAGCAAAACUCAGCUGAGGAAAUCAGUGAAAGUAAAAGCUAGUGCUUGGAGAUCAAACCUUUAGCUAACCAGUUGAGAAACAAACAACCCUAAAUUACCAGUAUCAGGAAUGAAAAAAGUGACAUCACUACAGAGAUGUGCUGCUGCUGCUGCUAAGUCGCUUCAGUUAUUCGUGUCCGACUCUUUGCGACCCCAUAGACGUUAGCCCACCAGGCUCCACUGUCCCUGGGAAGAACACUGGAGUAGGUUGCCAUUUCCUUCUCCAGUGCACGAAAGUGAAAAG
ensembl:lncRNA